UAGUCAUAUGCUUGUCUCAAAGAUUAAGCCAUGCAUGUCUAAGCACAAGCCGAUUAAUGGUGAAGCCGCGAAUGGCUCAUUACAACAGCCAUAGUUUCUUAGAUCUUACCUUUCUACUUGGAUAACUGUGGUAAUUCUAGAGCUAAUACACGCAAACAAGCUCAGACCUUACGGAAUGAGCGCAUUUAUUAGAACAAAAACCAAUCGGGCUUCGGUCCGUCAUUUGGUGAAUCUGAAUAACUUUGCUGAUCGCACGGUCUUCGUACCGGCGACAUAUCUUUCAAAUGUCUGCCUUAUCAACUUUCGAUGGUAGUUUAUGCGCCUACCAUGGUUGUAACGGGUAACGGAGAAUAAGGGUUCGACUCCGGAGAGGGAGCCUGAGAAACGGCUACCACAUCCAAGGAAGGCAGCAGGCACGCAAAUUACCCACUCCCGGCACGGGGAGGUAGUGACGAAAAAUAACGAGACGGCUCGCUAUGCGGUCCGUCAUCGGAAUGGGUACAAUUUAAAUCCUUUAACGAGGAUCUAUU
rnacentral:rRNA from 1 species